CUCAGAGAGACAGUACCUUUUGCUGAGUCCAGCAUAUGGCUAACAGGAGCUAUGUCAGCAGCUGAGACCACAGCAAGUCCUGAAGCCAACUGGAUUAGGAAGCCAUUGUAUGGAUUGUUUCAAUAUAAUUCCAGUAUGAUUGGACUAGAAUCAUUAGCUGAUCCCUCAGAUACCUGGGAAAUUAUAGAGACCAUUGGGAAAGGCACUUACGGUAAGGUCUAUAAGGUCGCCAAUAAGAAAGAUGGGAGUCUGGCAGCAGUAAAGAUUCUGGAUCCUAUCAGUGAUGUAGAUGAAGAAAUUGAAGCAGAAUAUAAUAUUUUGCAGUUUCUUCCCAAUCAUCCUAAUGUUGUUAGAUUUUAUGGGAUGUUUUACAAAGCAGAUCAAUAUGUGGGAGGACAGCUCUGGCUAGUACUUGAGCUGUGCAAUGGAGGUUCUGUCACAGAGCUUGUCAAAGGCCUGCUGAAGUGUGGCCAACGGUUGGAUGAAUCUAUAAUCUCAUACAUCUUAUGUGGUGCUCUCUUGGGCCUUCAGCAUUUACACAAUAACCGGAUCAUUCAUCGUGAUGUGAAAGGGAACAACAUUCUCCUGACAACAGAAGGUGGAGUCAAGCUCGUUGACUUUGGUGUUUCAGCCCAGCUCACCAGCACACGGCUGCGUAGAAACACCUCCGUGGGAACACCCUUUUGGAUGGCACCUGAGGUCAUUGCUUGUGAACAACAGUAUGACUACUCAUACGAUGCGCGAUGUGACGUAUGGUCCUUGGGAAUAACAGCUAUUGAACUGGGGGAUGGAGAUCCUCCUUUAUUUGACAUGCAUCCGGUGAAAACCCUUUUUAAGAUUCCAAGGAAUCCUCCUCCUACUUUGCUACAUCCUGAAAAAUGGUGCAGAGGAUUCAACCAUUUCAUUUCACAGUGUCUUAUCAAGGAUUUUGAAAAGCGUCCUUCAGUCACCCAUCUUUUGGAGCAUCCAUUUAUUAAACAAGUACAUGGUAAAGAUAUGUCUCUGCAAAAGCAGCUGGCUGAGCUAAUCCAAGAACAGCAGCAACUAGGCUCCAUAGCCAAAACAAGGCAUGAACGAAUACAUACUAGAAGACCUUACCAUGUGGAUGGAGCUGACAGGUACUCUCUAGAUGACGAUCUGGUAAAUCUGGAAGUUCUAGAUGAGGAUACAAUUAUCCAUCAGCUGCAGAAACGCUAUGCUGACUUACAAAUUUAUACUUAUGUUGGAGACAUUUUAAUAGCCUUAAACCCCUUCCAGAAUCUCAGCAUUUAUUCUCCCCAGUUCUCCAAGCUUUACCAUGGUGUGAAGCGUUCAUCAAAUCCCCCCCACAUAUUUGCCUCUGCAGAUGCUGCCUACCAAAGUAUGGUUACCUUCAGCAAAGAUCAGUGCAUUAUCAUCAGUGGGGAAAGUGGUGCUGGAAAGACAGAAAGUGCCCAUCUGAUUGUCCAACAUUUGACCUUCUUGGGAAAGGCCAAUAACCGUGCUUUGCGUGAGAAAAUUCUUCAGGUGAAUCCUCUGGUUGAAGCAUUUGGGAAUGCCUGCACUGCCAUCAAUGACAACUCAAGUCGCUUCGGAAAAUACCUGGAAAUGAUGUUUACACCUACAGGAGCUGUAAUGGGGGCAAAGAUUUCUGAAUAUCUACUUGAAAAAUCAAGGGUCAUAAAACAGGCUGUGGGAGAAAAAAAUUUCCAUAUAUUUUAUUAUAUUUAUGCUGGCCUUUAUCACCAGAGGAAACUUUCUGAAUAUAGACUUCCCGAUAAAAAGCCUCCUAGAUAUAUUGAUAAUGAAACUGGAAGAGUCAUGCAUGAUAUUGUUACUAAAGAUUCCUAUGGAAGACAGUUUGAAGCAAUUCAGCAUUGUUUUAGAAUUAUAGGAUUCACUGACGAGGAAGUGUACUCAGUGUACAGAAUUCUGACUGGAAUCUUAAAUACUGGAAAUAUUGAGUUUGCUGCCAUUUCUUCACAACACCAAACAGAUAAAAGUGAGGUUCCCAACCCAGAAGCCUUAGAUAAUGCUGCUGCACUACUAAGUAUUGGGUCAGAAGAACUUCAAGAGGCCCUAACCUCCCAUUGUGUUGUAACACGAGGGGAGACUAUUAUCCGAACAAACACAGUGGACAAAGCAGCUGACGUGCGAGAUGCCAUGUCUAAAGCACUUUAUGGCCGGCUCUUCAGCUGGAUCGUAAAUCGUAUUAAUACGCUGCUUCAGCCAGAUAAAAAUAUAUGCAAUGCUGAAAAUGGGAUGAAUGUUGGAAUACUAGACAUAUUUGGAUUUGAGAACUUCGCAAGAAAUUCCUUUGAACAGCUGUGCAUAAAUAUUGCUAAUGAACAGAUCCAGUUUUAUUUCAAUCAACAUAUCUUUGCACUUGAGCAGAUGGAAUAUCAGAGUGAGGGAAUUGAUGCUGCUACAGUGGAGUAUGAGGACAACCGUCCACUUCUAGAUAUGUUCCUCCAGAAACCCAUGGGUCUCCUGUCUCUACUAGAUGAAGAAAGUCGAUUUCCUCAGGCAACAGACCUAACUUUAGUUGAUAAAUUUGAAGAUAACUUACGAUGCAAAUACUUUUGGAGACCAAAAGGAGUAGAACUGUCAUUUGGUAUUCAGCACUAUGCUGGAAAGGUUUUAUAUGAUGCCUGUGCAUUCCUUGAGAAGAACAGAGACACUCUUCCUGCUGAUGUAGUAGUGGUGUUGCGAACCUCAGAGAACAAACUUCUUCAGCAGCUGUUCUCUAGCCCAUUAACAAAAACAGGUAUUUUCUGCACAGCUUUGCUAACAUUGCAAUCUCUUCAUUUUGUCUUCCAGGUUGACACAAUGGAAGUUAUGCGACACCCUGAGGAAACAACUAACAUGAAGCGGCAAACUAUGGCUUCUUAUUUUAGGUAUUCCCUCAUGGAUCUUUUAUCCAAAAUGGUUGUUGGACAGCCUCACUUUAUCCGCUGCAUUAAACCUAAUGAUGAUCGAGAAGCACUGAUGUUUUCUCAUGAGAGAGUUCUACUGCAGCUACAAUACACUGGAAUUCUGGAAACUGUCAAAAUACGUCAAAAAGGGUAUUCUCAUCGCAUCCUCUUUGAAGAGUUUGUGAAAAGGUAUUAUUACCUUGCAUUCAAGGCACACGAGACUCCCCUUGGUAGCAGAGAAAAUUGCCUUGCCAUUUUGGAGAAAUCUAAACUAGACAACUGGAUUCUUGGGAAAACCAAGGUUUUUCUAAAGUAUUAUCAUAUAGAGCAGUUAAACUUGUUCCUGCGAGAAGUUAUAGGGAGGGUGGUGGUCAUGCAAGCCUAUAUCAAGGGAUGGCUUGGAGCAAGGAGGUACAAGAAAGUCAAAGAGAAAAGAGAAAAUAGUGCUGUUACCAUACAGUCAGCCUGGAGAGGAUAUGAAGCUCGCAGGAAGUACAAGGAAAUAAGGAACAGAAGAACUGAUGCUGCUAUACAUAUUCAAGCAGGUAAUUAUUUCAAUUGCCAACACCUAUUUUAUCACAACUAUAAGUUAUCAUGGCAGAGUGGAAUCAAUAUGUUUCUUAUGUACCUAAACCAGCAUUCUUUAUUCCAGAAGGAUUUGGAUGAGAUUUCUCACCUGGCACAGCUUAAAACUAAAUUGUGUUAUGUUACUGUAGGUUCAGAAAACUGUCUUGAACAGAAGCUGAGAACACCUCGUCGACGAUGUCAGCAGCCCAAAAUGCUGAAUAGCCCUGAGGACAACAUGUACUAUAACCAGUUAAACGGAACUCUAGAAUAUCAAGGGAGCAAGAGGAAGCCAAGAAAACUUGGCCAAAUCAAAGUGCUGGAUGGAGACGAUGAGUAUUACAAAUCAUUGUCAGCCAUUGAAUCUGUCCCUGAAGAUGACAGCUUUCUCAGUUCCCCAUCUUCUUCAAGAGGUGUGUCUUUUGCUCAAAGCUGAACCUCACUUACUCUAUUGACCAAUACUGGUAAGAGUAUUUUCAUGCUGGUAAUCUCUUCCAAUUAACUUUGUGUGUGUGUGUUUAUAUAUAUAUUAAAUAUAUAUUAAAAAUACAUCUAUUAAAAAUACAGUUUCAGCUAGUAACUUUCUUUCACUAAUUUAUACCUUACUUCGCAGCUGUAAAUUGUCCCGUUUAGCUGUAUCUCUAUAAGCAAUUCCACUAAAGGGGAGGAGCACUACCUGCAUGUGUUGAUGUUGGUAACGGACACAUUUCUUUAGCAGCCAGGUUAGUUUAUACAGUUCCGACCCCUUCUUCCCUGCUCCCCCUGCCCCUGGCUGCUGUUCCCACCCUGUGCCAUCCCUUCUGUUGUGCUGGCACAACUGCUGGUAGAGCUGUGUGAAAAAUAAGAUCAAGGAAUUGAACUGGAUUAAAAGAACUCUGUACUAAAAAUUUGUGUUUGGAAUCAUAGUAAAAAUGUUUUUUAUUUCAGUAGACUGGUAUUAAACAUUAUCCUUUGUAAGUUUCUGUGCUGUGUAUGGCUUUUAACACUACAAAAACAUACAGAGUAAAAUAAUCUGAAAUAAUAAUUGUGUCUCAAUUUACCUUGUCAGUAUUUUUCUUAUAAAGUAUUAGUUUGCCAUAAAUUUAACUUGAAG
ensembl:lncRNA